rnacentral:rRNA from 1 species
AUGAAGAACAAUAUCACACUGGCUCGGGGGAGAGAGGGGUCGACAGCAGUGGGGCAUAUGCUGUCACCAUGCACCUACGGGCCCCGGCACGGCACAUAUAGUACACCAUCUUCGAAGAAGGCCACUACCUCCUUGCCUGGAUCGAAGGCGCCGCACCGUCGCAAGAUGAGAUGGAUGCCGCCGGAAGAUGGCCACAUAGAGAAGGUCAGCGCAACCCCAACGAGACCCGGAGGCUCUCCUUGA